rnacentral:rRNA from 1 species
AUACGGGGGAUGCAAGCGUUAUCCGGAUUUAUUGGGUUUAAAGGGAGCGCAGGCGGAGAUGCAAGCGUGACGUCAAAUUUCGGGGCUCAACCCCGUCUCGCGUCGCGAACUGCGUCCCUUGGUUGCGGGAAGGGGAGGCGGAACUCGUGGUGUAGCGGUGAAAUGCAUAGAUAUCACGAAGAACUCCGAUCGCGAAGGCAGCCUUCCGGCCCGUCAACGACGCUCAUGCUCGAAGGUGCGGGUAUCAAACAGGAUUAGAUACCCUGGUAGUCCGCACAGUAAACGAUGGACACCCGCGGUUUGGCCUGUAUGGCUGAGCCGCCAAGCGAAAGCGUUAAGUGUCCCACCUGGGGAGUACGCCGGCAACGGUGAAACUCAAAUGAAUUGACGGGG